CAUCUUUAUUUUGUGGCUUCAUUUGUUGCACCAACGGGCGGCGCUUUCGCUUUUAUCGCCUCGGCUGCCAUUCUCUUCGUCUGCUCCUGCCACUUUCCGUGCAGACGUUUCUUUCUGCCACUUUUGCAGACGUUUGGUGCGUGCACGUUUCUUCACUUGGUUGCAACGUCGGAAAGACUGAGGAAAGGACACCAGGCGUGCUGCGCCGCUGUGUGAUGUGGCAACUCGGGGAGCAACAUAAGGGCGAAAUUUUUCCGUUUUCCAGUGAACGAGAGUUUUCAGAUGUGACACAUGGUGAAAUGACGCUAAAUGGUGAGUCCUGGCAGGGCUGGCAAGGGAGCAGAUGUAUAACGGCUACGGCAUCUGCUCGAGCCACUUCAGACGAAGGGACUACGCCGAGCCUGCCGUAGUCGGCUCUGCCGACUGUUGCAGUGGAAAAGCAGUCCCUGAUAGAUGAAGGGGUUGGCGCAAGUGGCAUGAGCGCGGCGAGCGCUAUCCUUUCCUCGUCGUUUACUACAGCACCGGGUGCCCUGCGACGUUAAGCAGCGAAAUUUGCUUCGCGUGCGCCAAGAAACCGCGUGCUUGUCAGUAUAUCGUUAUCGCUCGCUCGCCUGAGGUGCGCGAUGUUCCCGAUAAUAGGCUAAACUAAAGGCCGAACAGUUUUCCCUGACAAUAAGCGAAUUCACGUUAGUAAACUGUCUCGCCUCGCUUGGCGCUGCAGCAUACGACACGGCGAA